rnacentral:rRNA from 1 species
GAUGAACGCUGGCGGCGUGCCUAAUACAUGCAAGUCGAGCGAACAGACAAGGAGCUUGCUCCUUUGACGUUAGCGGCGGACGGGUGAGUUACACGUGGAUAACCUACCUAUAAGACUGGGAUAACUUCGGGAAACCGGAGCUAAUACCGGAUAACAUAUUGAACCGCAUGGUUCAAUAGUGAAAGGCGGCUUUGCUGUCACUUAUAGAUGGAUCCGCGCCGUAUUAGCUAGUUGGUAAGGUAACGGCUUACCAAGGCAACGAUACGUAGCCGACCUGAGAGGGUGAUCGGCCACACUGGAACUGAGACACGGUCCAGACUCCUACGGGAGGCAGCAGUAGGGAAUCUUCCGCAAUGGGCGAAAGCCUGACGGAGCAACGCCGCGUGAGUGAUGAAGGUCUUCGGAUCGUAAAACUCUGUUAUCAGGGAAGAACAAAUGUGUAAGUAACUGUGCACAUCUUGACGGUACCUGAUCAGAAAGCCACGGCUAACUACGUG